rnacentral:rRNA from 1 species
UACGUAGGGGGCAAGCGUUGUCCGGAUUUAUUGGGCGUAAAGAGCGUGUAGGCGGCCGUACAGGUCAGCUGUGAAAACUCGAGGCUCAACCUCGAGACGUCGGUUGAAACCGUACGGCUAGAGUCCGGAAGAGGAGAGUGGAAUUCCCGGUGUAGCGGUGAAAUGCGCAGAUAUCGGGGAAGAACACCCGUGGCGAAGGCGAGCCUCCUCGGGAGCCG